rnacentral:lncRNA from 1 species
GUCUGCUGAAGGCGCCGAAAGCACAGAAGUUCAGCCCCUAAGUAAUGCAGAACUCCCCAAUAAAAAUACACAAAUUGAAAUAAGCCUUCAGGACCAGCAACAUGAUAUUUUAAAGAAUACAGUAACUGUUUGAUUCGGCACAUAUUUUGUGGACAUAGGCUGGAGGUCCCUCACAGUCAUCCCUCCCAGGCUUCUUGUGAGUGCUGCUGCUCUUGGAGAAUCAUCUACAAACAACACAGAUGCUCCUAUAAAAAAAUCACAUGGCCAGUUGAGGACAGUGAUGAUGAAGACUUUGACUUAGACUCCACCUGCCGCAUCACUGGCUUUCUAAGGAUGUUCAUUGAAACCGCUUCAUCGGGUACCCUGGCCCAGCUGCUGACAUUCUGGGUUGGCUGGGAGAUGCUUCCUCCUGAACUGAGAGUGAAGAUUUCUGGGGGACCCCUUCCUACAUCCUCCACAUGCUUUGAAACACUAAAGCUGCCAGCUCAUUUCAAAAUCUACAGGGACUUUGAGAAAGCACUUGUUGCUGCCAUAAACAGUACUGGAUUUGGGCUUGUUUAAGCUUUUUCAGACCGAUGUCAAUGCAUAUACUGUUCAGAUGAAUUGACACAAGUUCAGUGUCUUUGAAAACAUUAACACACUGUGCAGUAGUUGACAAUUUUUUUUAUUCUACAUAUUUUUUCCAUUUACUGAAAUCAAACAGUUCUGCACCUUCAGUGCUAACAGUACAGCAUUCAUGUUAGUCAUUCUGUGGACCGUAGUGAGACAGGAAGACAGCUAUAAAACAGCUAUUUUUUUUUCUUAUUAAGUAAACUUUUUCAGUUUUUCCUUGCUUGUUUUAACACAACAAAUAAAAACAUGGGUUGGACAUCAGUCUUCUAAGAUUCUUGAUAACACUUCCUCAGUCUUUACAUAUAGUCUAAGUGCUUCAGUAACAGAAACUCCUGGAGCUGGCAAAAUUGCAACCUCCUCAUCUGAGAGUUCACGGGCCAGCUGAACCUUGGGGCCAGACACUGUGCCUCCAUGAAGGCUGUU